ACGGACGAAUUGUUAAUACCCUUUUUCCCUGGUUUCUUCUUCUUUUUUCUUUCUCCAUUGAUGUAGAAAAGUUAUUAGAGAUGGGUCAAUUAUUCAUAGCUGUGAAAAGAGAAGAUCAAAGACAUAUAUUGUGAUUUUUGUGAAUUGUAUGAUGCAUUGACAUCUUCUUGGCGGUUAAUCUGUGCCAUCUCCAGUGUCCAUAUUAAUUCAUAGCCACCAUAUCUUGCUUCAAAUCAAGCUUGUAGAUGCCAUCAUAGAAGCUGGAAAUAUCAUGGUAAGUAAUUAAUGAUGAGUUUAAUAAUGUAAUCUUAAAACUUUUUAUCCAAUUCUGUUUUUUGUUUUGUUUUAUGACUUGCUUGAAGCAAGCCAUUUGGAUUACCAAAGAGAUGUUAAAAAUAUGGGUAAGUGCUCAUUGACACAGAGUUUUUUAAAAAAUCAACUCUUUCCAAAGAAGAAUUUUUGGCUCGUACUAUUAUCACGUUUGCUUUGAAGGAUGUAUGCCUUCUGAAAUUCGAAAUAGGAUAAGAAGGAGAAGAGGCAUCAGCACUCUAAUAAGCAUCAUAUAUAUGCGUACUCUUGUAAUUCUUGGCUUUGUAAUAAAACUUAUUUGGGAUGAACUGUUAAUUAUUUCUACUAGUAUUGAUUAA